GCAUACUGACAGCUUCCAAUCUUUUGUUCUAAAAGGAAGUUGGUUCAACUAUUGAAAAAAAUAGCUGCAUUUGUCUAAUUGAAUCAGCCCCCAUUAUGCGAUAAAUUCUGCUGCUUUUGUUUUGGCUCUGAAUAUACGAGAGUAAGUGAAAAGCAACUUGAAAUAAGUAUGAACGACCAAUGUGUUGUUUUAAAGGGGAAUGAGUAAGAUGCAGGGGUCCGUACGUUGCCUCUGAAGCUGGUAGCAGAAGGAUUAAGGGUACAUGAGUCUUUUUUAUACUUGAAUCCCCAUGUUCAGUCAUGUUACUUGAUUUGAUGGGUUGUGGAUGGAUGGCAGAUGAACUGGGAGAUGUGCUGCUUUAUAAUUAGUAAUCCACACAAAGCAUGCCGGGGAUCAGCACGGAGUAGCUGUGCUUACUUGAAAUCAAAGCAUUCUAUACUCAUUUUAAUGCACCUCACAGUACAGGAAAAGGCUUAGUAUGAGAGCAUAAAAACCCGUGGAGUUUAGGGUGGGGAAGGUGGCCUCAGAAUAUCUUGCUGGAAGUAAGGCUGCUGCUAGCAAAUCUAUAGCAAUGCAGACACCUCAGCCAGCUCUUCAACCAGUUGGAAAGAGCAAGACUAAGGAGUGCAUGCCAGUUCAGGAUGCCUUGAUUUGCUUUUCUUUCUAGAGCUUAAGAGCAGCUUUUUAAAGAAAUUGUUCUUUUGUGCUAUAUAAAGCCAUGCUUGUUUGUUUUUCCUUAUUUUUAAAAAGGGGAGGGGCGGAGGAGGGCAGUGAGUGACUAUACUAGGUGUCACUGACCUGGCUUCGACAUCUCUUCCUACUCGGCCAAAUUCUGCACUGUUUCUAAAGAUCACCUUUUGCAGACGGGCCUGAAAGAGCAUUAUUUUUGUGAUGGAGUAGAUCUUGAAACUCAAAGCAGUCAUUCUUGAAGUGUUUAUGGCUAUCUAUUAACUGACAUUCAGCAGUCAAUAAAAUUAGAAGCUAAAUACA